rnacentral:rRNA from 1 species
GCUUACGGCCACACCUCCCUGAGCACGCCCGAUCUCGUCUGAUCUCGGAAGCUAAGCAGGUCCGGCCCGGUUAGUACUUGGAUGGAGACCGCCUGGGAAUACCAGGUGCUGUAAGCC